GAAUCCCGUCUUUGGCACGGACCCCCAGGGCUUCUGUGAUGCGCUCUCGAAGAGUCGAGUUGUUUGGGAAUGCAGCUCAAAAUGGGUGGUGAACUCCAUCUAAAGCUAAAUAUUGGCGAGAGACCGAUAGCGAACAAGUACCGUGAGGGAAAGAUGAAAAGCACUUUGGAAAGAGAGUGAAACAGUACGUGAAAUUGUUGAAAGGGAAACGCUUGAAGUCAGUCGCGUCGAUCGAGACUCAGCCUUGCCUCGGCUUGGCGUACUUCUCGGCUUGACGGGUCAGCAUCAAUUUUGCCCCUUGGAUAAUGGCGAGGGAAAUGUGACACCUUUAUAGGUGUGUUAUAGUCUCUCGUCGCAUGCAAGGGUCGGGAUUGAGGAACUCAGCACGCGCCUUCGGGCGUCGGGGCCUUGCCCACGAUACGUGCUUAGGAUGUUGGCGUAAUGGCUUUAAACGACCCGUCUUGAAACACGGACCAAGGAGUCUAACAUGCCCGCGAGUGUUCGGGUGGAAAACCCGUGCGCGCAAUGAAAGUGAAAGUUGGGACCUCUGUCGCGGAGGGCACCGACGCCCGGACCAGAGCUUCUGCGACGGAUCUGCGGUGGAGCGUGUAUGUUAGGACCCGAAAGAUGGUGAACUAUGCCUGAAUAGGGUGAAGCCAGAGGAAACUCUGGUGGAGGCUCGUAGCGAUUCUGACGUGCAAAUCGAUCGUCAAAUUUGGGUAUAGGGGCGAAAGACUAAUCGAACCAUCUAGUAGCUGGUUCCUGCC
rnacentral:rRNA from 1 species